AUUGAACGCUGGCGGCAUGCUUUACACAUGCAAGUCGAACGGCAGCACGGGCUUCGGCCUGGUGGCGAGUGGCGAACGGGUGAGUAAUGCAUCGGAACGUACCGUGUAAUGGGGGGAUAACGUAGCGAAAGUUACGCUAAUACCGCAUACGCCCUGAGGGGGAAAGCGGGGGAUCGUAAGACCUCGCGUUAUACGAGCGGCCGAUGUCGGAUUAGCUAGUUGGUGGGGUAAAGGCCUACCAAGGCGACGAUCCGUAGCGGGUCUGAGAGGAUGAUCCGCCACACUGGGACUGAGACACGGCCCAGACUCCUACGGAGGCAGCAGUGGGGAAUUUUGGACAAU
rnacentral:rRNA from 1 species